rnacentral:snRNA from 1 species
AAAGCAUUGCGAUGGUCC